UACAGAGGGUGCGAGCGUUGUUCGGAAUUAUUGGGCGUAAAGCGCAUGUAGGCGGUCGGUUAAGUCGCGUGUGAAAUCCCCAGGCUCAACCUGGGAAGUGCGCGCGAAACUGGCAGACUUGAGUGCUGGAGAGGGUGGCGGAAUUCCCGGUGUAGAGGUGAAAUUCGUAGAUAUCGGGAGGAACACCAGAGGCGAAGGCGGCCACCUGGACAGACACUGACGCUGAGACGCGAAAGCGUGGGGAGCAAACAGG
rnacentral:rRNA from 1 species